GAUGAACGCUGGCGGCGUGCCUAAUACAUGCAAGUCGAGCGAACGGACGAGAGGCUUGCUUCUCUGAUGUUAGCGGCGGACGGGUGAGUAACACGUGGAUAACCUACCUAUAAGACUGGGAUAACUUCGGGAAACCGGAGCUAAUACCGGAUGAUAUUUUGAACCGCAUGGUUCAAAAGUGAAAGACGGUCUUGCUGUCACUUAUAGAUGGAUCCGCGCUGCAUUAGCUAGUUGGUAAGGUAAUGGCUUACCAAGGCAACGAUGCAUAGCCGACCUGAGAGGGUGAUCGGCCACACUGGAACUGAGACACGGUCCAGACUCCUACGGGAGGCAGCAGUAGGGAAUCUUCCGCAAUGGGCGAAAGCCUGACGGAGCAACGCCGCGUGAGUGAUGAAGGUCUUCGGAUCGUAAAACUCUGUUAUUAGGGAAGAACAUAUGUGUAAGUAACUGUGCACAUCUUGACGGUACCUAAUCAGAAAGCCACGGCUAACUACGUG
rnacentral:rRNA from 1 species